rnacentral:rRNA from 1 species
UCCGUAGUGGUGGUAGGUUAAGUUUUUCGGCGAGGGAGUCGGGCCCGCGGCCUAUCAGCUAGUUGGUGGGGUAAUGGCCUACCAAGGCGACGACGGGUAGCCGGCCUGAGAGGGCGACCGGCCACACUGGGACUGAGACACGGCCCAGACUCCUACGGGAGGCAGCAGUGGGGAAUAUUGCGCAAUGGGCGAAAGCCUGACGCAGCGACGCCGCGUGAGGGAUGAAGGCCUUCGGGUUGUAAACCUCUUUCAGCAGGGACGAAGCGAAAGUGACGGUACCUGCAGAAGAAGCACCGGCUAACUACGUG